rnacentral:misc_RNA from 1 species
CUCUCUCUAGUUUGAUAGAGAGAGAAAAUUCUCUCUACUCCCUUCGUCAUAUUUUAUCUCCUGUCGGGUUAGCCGAGCAUAUUUUCUGGUUGGCUUCCCUCGUCCUUCGGGACAGGGGAAGAUAGUGUAUCCGACUUGUCGGUGGCUUCCCUCCCACCUCCGGUUGGACGUAUAGUUUUGGUUUCAUUUUGUUGAUAUCAGAACUUGGAUCUUCAUGGAGACGGUGAUUUGUUGAUGUUCUGUAGGUAGGAAGAUGAAUUUAUAGUAUGUGUUGGUUUUAUCUCGAGUUUAGUUAUUGUGCUUUGCUUGAAGGGAAGGAUAAUCAUAGGGGGACAUUUGCAACUCCGGGGAUUUAUGCUUCUUCUUCUCUUAUGGAAACUCACCCUUAAGACAAUAUGAGAUUGAGAGGCUAGUGAGCUCUGCUGUGUCACCUUCCUGGAGAGGCGUGCUUUCGAUAUUGGGUGGUAGUGCCUUGGAGUUCCGACACUGUUUACGCUUAUGUGUUUUUCUGGGUGGCUUUUGGCUGUUCAGAUGCUUAAUCGGAGCUUUGGUUAGGGAUGAAGAAAUGUUUCUCUUCCCAUUUUCCAAAUCGGCGAUCAAGAUUGUUGUGGUAGAUGGACGGCUGUCUUGGUUCUGUUCCCUUUUCUGUUUGUUUAGGGUUC